AAAGGUGUCCACAUAUUUUGGGUGGCCACAGAGAGUGGUAGAAGACUUUGGUAGUAAUACUAUGGCAUUCUAUUUGAAGACUUUCUACACUGUGUUGGUACUGACACUGACAGGAGGCCUUGAUCCUACCAGUGUCUCAGCAGCAUCUCCUAAUGCAAGUGGACCUGAUUUAACAGGCCUUUCCUAUGUGGGUUGGGUGAGAGCUGGAUAUGAGACGAACUUCACCUGUACCUCCAACUGCAUCCCAGGAUGCACCUACACCUGGUUGCUGAAGGGGCGCACUUUCAUUGGGAGUAAGUUGACCUGGACCCCAGACGGUCUGGACCACAUUGUGGAGCUGCAGUGUACUGCGGUCAACACAGAGAAUGGGCGCUCCAAGAGCAUAACCACAAUCUUGGAGGUGAAAAGCUCAGUGUCCGUGAGGCCCAGCCCACAGCUCUCUCUCCCCGUCCUCAACCAAUCCUUCAGCCUGGACUGUAACGGCUCCUUCCCAGGCCUGCCAGUGCUCUGGUACAAAGACGGCCAGGUUGUAGCUCCAGACGCCAUGAUAAACCAGUUGGAACACAACACCUCCCUCCACUUUAACUCCCUGCUGCCCUCUGAUGGUGGCUUCUAUCAGUGUGAGGUGACCAUGGCAAACAUGGCUAAAAGCAAGGUCAUAAGCUUGGGCUACCUGCUAAACUUUGAUCAUUGGAGUGUUAGUAUCAGUGGCCCUGACACAGUGUUGCCUGGGAGGGAAUACACCUUUACCUGCCAGGUGAACUGCACUGUUGACCUGGACUGCUCCAUCCGCUGGCCGUUGAGGGGGAGUAUCCUUACUAGCGCCUACUUCUCCGUGAGGAAGAAUAUCCUGAAAUGGAUCCCGUCGGUACCUGGUACGGUCCAGGUCUUCACCUGUGUGGUGGAGAACACAGCAGCUGGACGCUCUGCAGAGGCCUCCAAGACAGUGAAGGUCACAGGACCCACAGUAUCAGGAUCUGAAACAGUGAGGCUGAGUGGAGUUUUAGGACUGGUUCUCUGUGUGGGUCAGCUGUUUCUCCUGGAUCCCUAGAGGCGGCGCUAUAAGACUACAGACUAUGGGAAGGACAGAGGAGAACGUUGAAUAAGUUCAGGUUCACCUUCAGAACAAAUAAUAAAACAGGAACCAACGUUUUGAAACUCUUAAUCCUGUCCAAUAAGAAUGCUCAUUUCUCAGAAUAAGAAUAUAAGGAUAUAAGAAUGUUUCCUCUGUUGUGGGAUAAUGAUAGUUGAGUCAUUGGAAGUUUCCAGUGAAUUAUGUUUAUCAUUCACAUGCAGUAGGUAACGAUGAGAAAAUAACAAAACGUACAUAUUGAUGUAAUCUAUGUAAUAUUUUCUUAUUUGCAAUACGUACUGUAUUAUUAUCUUUGUUGUUGUUGAGAUUACCUUGUAAAAUAAACUCCCAAAUGAGUGUGGUAAUAAAUA
rnacentral:lncRNA from 1 species